CUACGGAGAAGAGUAAUCACAAUGCUCAUCAAGGAUGCUGGAGCUCCCGUCACAAACUUUUUUCUCAAAGUAUUGGUGAAAGAGGCGGUCACUGUUGGGGCAGUAUAGAAGACGACAGAUGAUUGUCGGUUCCAGAUUUUCAGCCCAUAAUUCUAACGCCACAGAACAUGGAUGAACAGGGAAUAAUAGCUGGGAGAUGGAAGGACAUCUCUGGCAGCACUGACUCAAAGUAUCAGAGAGCUGAAAGGGAUGGUGGGCCAUCAUCUGGACCAGUCUCCUAAUGCUGGAGAGAUGAACGUCCAAAGCUAUUACAGAAGAGGCUGUCUAGUGUAUGUAAGAUUACAUUCUCAACACUUUUGGGUAUUCUUGGGAUACAUACACCAUUAUCAGGAAUCCUAAACCUGAGAAUAAAUUAAGAUAGUCAUUUUGACUUUUACUCUAAUCUCCAGGCAACAUCC
rnacentral:lncRNA from 1 species